GAGUGCAGCCAACAAAUACAUUCAGGUGUGUUCGACUUAACACCGAGAUGCGCAGACAGCACGUGGUAUGACAUCAAAGUACCGCGAGAGUUUGGGAAAGCCCCGGAAAAGGUUUGAUCUCGCGGUACUUGAUGUCACGAUCGGUUUGCGUGUAGAUCAGCAUGAAGUAGAACACAUCUGAAAGAUGUGUGGGCUGCCUGCACUCAACGUUGCGAUAAUUCAGUAGAGUGUAACCUCAAUCGGUUUUUGCAGCUUCUGGGUGUCGUGUCGAACGAUCGCAGAACGAUUUUUUUGUUCUUUUCCAACUCGAUUUUUAACUCCCUAGACUAGUAGGAUGUUCCAACGGGUGAAGCAACAGUGCUGACGGCAGAGUUUCAGUGUCAAUUUUUCAUGCCAUGAUCACUGGGGCGGAAACCAUUAUGACGUUGCCUUGGACAUCAAACUAAACCAUCUCAUUCUUGCUUUUUUCUAACAUCGAAAUCUCAGAAGGCCAGGACUAAGAUGGACGCAGCCUCCACAUGCAACCUUGCAUUUGAGGAACACCCAUAGAACGGAGAAAGUCAUGGGUUCUGCUGCUGAGUGUCUUUUAUUCUGCUUACCUGACUCAUGCAGAAUUCUGGCUUGAUGUUUGGUCCACCUGUUAGCUGGCUCUGGUGCUUGGUAGUCUUCUCAAACCUCUGAAUCAAGGCCACCAUGAGAGGCCUUCUGAAGACCAUCAUUACGCUUCAGAUCCAGUUGUCUUAACUAUGAGAUAGAACUGAACUGGAGUCUGUGAACUAAUGCUGUGUUCGAGACAACUGGAACAGCAAACAAAGUUGAGUAUCCGACCUCUCAACUUGUGACUGAUCGAUCAGCACCAACCUCAACGAGAUGCAUCAUUUGACAUUGCAGACAAGAUCCUUUCUCUUUUUAAUGCAGCACUUAAGGAUGAAGCACCCUGAUCUACUAAGAUGCACAGAUUCAACUCUGGCCCAGCAUCAUCCCCACACCUCAUCUGCCAUCAGUUUAAUUUAAUGUCUGUCAAUUGCAAAUGCUAUUUAUUUCAGUUAUAUUACAACUUAAUGUUAACUUUAAUUGAGACUAGUAUUGUGUAAAGCUGGGGUUUCCAAACUUUUCAUUUCAAAACCUAUUAGACAAGUGUAAUCUAUUCUAGACCCACUAAAAUAUUUUUACAUAUACAUUUUUUUAAUGGGGUAAAACA